GCCCCGUGAAAACUGGAAAGCGAAACUAUAAUCGCGCACCUUCUCCCGUUUGUACACGCGUGUUCUCCCUACCCUAUCAUAAAACUCUUUCCUCUUUCUCUCCUCUUUCGUCUCUCCUUGUCGUCAUCGUACUCCCCUUUUACUACUUCAUUAUCAUUCAACCCGCAUCCUUUAUUAUUAAUCCUUUAUUCAUCAGAAAUCACCAACGCACACGCGCAACGCGAGCUAGUUAACGAGCACGGAAAACAUCUGAAUUGCAACUGUUUGGUAAUAUCUAAUCAACUGAUAAAAGAUGUAAAGGAGAACCGCAGCAAAAAACACCCUUUUUUUAAGUUCCAAAUGUAGAGAUACGGUUUGCUAUGAAAUUUGCAAGUCCUUGGGACCAACUAUUUUGACAGAAUGACUGCUGCAAGAAGAAUGCUUACAACAGCCGAGCCCCACUAUAUCCCAGGAUACACCGGUUAUUGUCCGCAGUAUCGAUUCGUAUGCGGCGAUACAUACGGAAAGGCCACGCAUAAAUUGUUGUUAGAUCCUACAAUUAACCACGCGAAAACGCUCAUCCUGUCGAAUCGUGCAACCAGCUAUUGCGAGAUACCGUCAAAAUGCGAUAUAGACGUGGUCAAUGCGCGUUUCAAGAGGACCGAUCCCGUUUUCGUUCACCCUAUGUUACCGGGAUAUGAGGGCUUUAUACCGAGUCUUAAUACUGAAAUCGGACAAAGAUACACGGUGCUCGCGACUCAGAGACUUGCCAAAUUCGAGCGGCAACAAUUACGGGAUAAGGCAGCCUUAAAUCAACUGAGAGAGAUAAUCAACGUGCAAAGUAGGCAAGCCGAGUCACAAGAUUUGGAGAAACGUUUGUUAAUAAAAACUCAAUUUAAAUUGCCAUUACUCCCCGUGCGUCCUGAAUGUGUGCCGGAGAUAAGGAAUUUAACAUCAGACGAACAUCACAAAAUAUUGAAAAAUCACGCGCCUUUAUCUUGUAUAAACAUUCUUCAUGCAGGAUAUGCGCACCAUGUUCCGCACGGCUACGUGCGUUUCGCCUCGUCGUCUGACGGUGCGUUGCAUGAUUUCGCAAAUUAUCGAAAGGAACGGUGCACGGAAUGCGGGUCGAUAACUGUCAUACAUCCUGAUUCGCCGUUACUUGUCCAGCCGAGUGAAAUCUAUCACAAACAUAUAGGAAUGAUACCGAAUUAUCUCGGACAUAUUCCUGGAGUGGCAUUCAGAUGCGGCAAAACCUUCGGAGCUGAUACGAGAAAUGCCAAGAAGUGGCUGCGAAGGGACUCCUCACCUUGCAAUUGGACUUCACGACGACGUUGCGCACACAACGUAUUAUGAAGAGAUCAUAGAAAU